rnacentral:tRNA from 1 species
GCCUGGGUGGCUCAGUUGGUUGAGCGUCUGACUUCGGCUCAGGUCAUGAUCUCACAGUUCGUGGGUUCGAGCCCCGCGUCAGGCU